CUUUCCUUUUUUUUUUUUUUUUUAAGAUUUUAUUUAUUUUAGAGACAGGGAAAGUAAGAGAGAGAGAGAGAGAGAACAUAAGCAGGAGGAGCAGCAGAGGGAGAAGGAGGAGCAGACUCCUGGGAUCAUGACCUGAGUUGAUGGCAGACGCUUGACUGAGACACCCAGGUGCCCCAGCACAGAGUUUUCUGAGAUGCAUCCCAACCCUUGACAUUGUUUGACUCAAGCCUUGGUUUUGAUGACUUUCUUGUAUGUGAUUCCCUUUACUCAUUAGCACAUCUCUUCUGAUAUAAUCCUGGUAUUAAUCUUCCCGGUUUUUAUUAACUCAGCUCCUGUUGAAACAUCCUGACCUUUCCCUUCUGCCCCAGCCCAGAGAUAAGGGCAGGAGAAUUUGUCAUCAAGCACCCCUCCAACCUCAUGAUAUAAAUAGAGGAGACUGGAGGGAAGGGUGUGUCAGAGCCUGCCAGGAGACAGAGUUAUACCACUUGGUAUAUCAAAAGAUAUUAAGAAGUGAUAAUUAGAUGUUUAAGUAAUGAAAAGAUGCAAAGGAAAUACUAAGGUAUAAAAGAGAAGUAGCAAAUGCAAGAUGCAGCUGUGACUCCUAGAUUUUGGGUAGAAACUUGGAAAAGCUUGAAUUUCUACCGGUGGGAAUGGAACUCUCCAGACUAACUGGAGACCAGGCUUGUGGACAGUGCAUGCCCAGGGGGUCACCAACAUUGAUUAGGAUGGAGAACAUCCAGAGAAGGAAAAUCAAUUAAAAGCUUCUAGAGGAGCCACUUGUUUUGAACAAUUUAGCAAUCCAGAAAAUAGCAUAUAAAUGUAUUUAAUACUUAGACUGCACAGAUAAUCUAAGAAUAUUGAGGAAAAUAAAUGUAUAUGAAUGGCCUUCUAAGACUUUAACACACAAGUUUCUUUCUAAAAUAAAAUAUUAGGUUCCUUUUUUCUUAUGGUAAAUGUGAGUGAUAUUUUAAUUAAAUUAACUAUAUUGAAUGAACCUACAAUGCCAUAUGGAUGCAUGUAAUUAAUACAAUAAAUAUAAACAUUUUAGGGCAUCAUUUUUUCAGUAUAUAAGAUAAGUGAAAAGAGAUACAGGAACUUACUAUGAUUCACUAAAAACAUAUAGCAAAAGGGUGAAGUGUAUGUGUUAUACAAAUUUCUAAAUGUAGAAUCACAUCCUAGUAAUGUGAAUAUCAUUAGAGAUUCUAGCUUGAAACUCUCUUUGUCAGAAUCCUAAAUCUUAUACAUAUGAUACAUACAAUAUGUUAGCUAAACUGAACAAAAUCUUCAAACUCUGUUACUAUCAAAUUCUUGUUUGGAGAUGAUUUCAGUAAUUGAGGUGCCUUUUUUUCCUACCUAUAAACCUCCACUCUUCUUCUGGCCUAUUUAGAUACACUACCCGUGUUUCUUGUCAUCAUGGUCCCAUUGGGGUUUACUGCCUGCUGUUUCCCAAAGGGCAGCUCUAGGCAGUGUUAUCAGGUAGGCAAAGUAUGUCAACAGUGUUAUAAUUGAGUGAAGCUGUUUAGAUUCUUCCAGCAUUUCCAGUGAGUUUAUUGAACUAAUGCAUGUUCAUUGUUUGCAUUUGAGAGAGUACAGAUUAUUUCAAUUCAUUCAAUAAUGAAUUUUCUACAUACCACUAAAGCCUUUAUUUAAAGAAUUAUAAAGAAAAGAUUUUGUGUACAUAUUCAUGAGAGACCCAGAGAGAGAGGCAGAGACCAUAGGUAGAGGGAGAAGCAGGCUCUCUGUAGGGAGCCCGAUAUGGGACUUGAUCCCAGGACCCCUUGAUAACGACCUGAGCCAAAGGCAGACGCUCAACCACCGAGCCACCCAGAUGCCCCCAUUAAAGCCAUUUUAGGGUAAGGUAUAAGACCUAAAUUUUUUUCUGAACUUGGAAACAUUUCUUAUGUAAAUUCGUUCAGAUUCCCCAGUACUUUUCAUCAGGAUAAGCUGAUUUUCAAGACCUUCUCUUAGUGGUGACUAUUUUUGAUUCCAAGAGAUGAUAGGAUGCAGAGAAACUUUAUUAAACUCAGUGAUAAAGCACCACAGAGUAUUUACUCCUUACCCUUGACCUCACAUCUCAGUCUACACUGUCCAGUUCUACAUGUCUAUAUUCAGUCUGUGUCAUGGAUACUGGAAGCACAAAAUGGAAUAGACAUAUUUCUAAACUUGUGGAUCUUUGAGGAGGAGGAAGAUGUUCUGGCCAGGGGAGACAGGUGACAUCCUCCUACCCAGCAUUCAGCACACCCUAACCCAGGCAGGGGAAACCAGGAAGAUAUACAGCAGAACUUUUCAAUUCGUAGUUGUAAAUAUUAGAAAAUAGUGUUAUGGGAACAGAUAGCAGGGACGAUUGGCAAGCCGAUUUGGAGAUG
rnacentral:lncRNA from 1 species